ensembl:lncRNA
AUGGUAGAGACACAAUUUGGGUCUUUUUAUUCAAUUUUAAUUUCGCAACUUUUUUUUGAGUGUAUUUUUUUUUGUUAUACUUUAUGUUCUGGGGUACAUGUGCACAACGUGCAGGUUUGUUACAUAGGUACCCAUGUGCCAUGUUGGUUUGCUGCAGCGAUCAACCCAUCAUUUACAUUAGGUAUUUCUCAUAAUGCUCUCCCUCUCCCAGUGCCCCUGCCCCAACAGGCCCCUCCCUGUGUCCAUGUGUUCUCAUUGUUCAACUCCCACUUAUUGAGCGAGAACAUGCGGUGUUUGGUUUUCUGUUCCUGUGUAAGUUUGCUGAGAAUGAUGGUUUCCAGCUUCAUCCAUGUCCCUGCAAAGGACCUUUUUUAUGGCUGCAUAGUAUUCCAUUGUGUAUAUGUGCCACAUUUUCUUUAUCCAGUCUAUCAAUGCUUUUACACUGUUGGUGGGAGCAUAAAUUAGUUCAACCAUUGUGGAAGACAGUGUGGUGAUUCCUCAAGGAUCUAUAACUAGAAAUACCAUUUGACCCAGCAAUCCCAUUAUAGGGUAUAUACCCAAAGGAAUAUAAAUAAUUCUACUAUAAAGACACAUGCACACGUAUGUUUAUUGUGGCACUAUUCAUAAUAGCAAAGACUUGGAAACUAAAGGUAGUUCUUAAGGCUAAAAUGAAAUUAUUCUAAACCGUAACUCAUAUCAAUAUGCAGAGAUAAAGAGAACCAGUCAAACAGAUUGCAUAAGUAGAUAUAAAAGACAGUAUAGACGAACUUUUUGUUUCUAAUAUUUUUCCUGUUUGAUUUAAAAGACAAUGGUAUUAAAAAAAGCAAUAAUUAUAAACCCGUGCUGAUGGGUAUACUGUGUAUAAAGAUACAAUUUGCACAGCCAUAAUAGAUAAAUAAAAGAAAGAAGAGGAAAUGGGACUGUAUGAGAGCAAAGUUUUUAUAAAAUAUUGAGAUUAAGUAGACAUUAAACUAGGUUAUUAUAAAUUUAGGUACUAAUAAUCCUACAAAAAUAGAUAGCAAAAGAAACUACUCAGGAAUUAAAAUGGUACAUUGGAAAAAUCCUAUUUAACACAAAAGAAAGCAGUAAUAGAGUAAUAAAGGAACAGAAAUUACAUAAGCUAUAUAUAAAAAAAUUACAAAAUCGUAGUCAUAUGUCGUACUUUAUCAGUAAUUUCAUUAAGUUUAAAUAGAUUAAACCUCUACUUAAAAGCAGAUACCAUUAAAAAACAUGAUUCAGUGGCUCAUGUCUGUAAUCCCAGAACUUUGGGAGGCCGAGGCGGGCGGAUCACGAGGUCAGGAGAUCGAGACCAUCCUGGCUAACACGGUGAAACCCCGUCUCUACUAAAAAUACAAAAAAUUAGCUGGGCGUGGUGGCGGGCACUGGUAGUCCCAGCUACUCAGGAGGCUGAGGCAGGAGAAUGGCGUGAACCCGGGAGGCUGAGCUUGCAGUGAGAGGAGAUCGCGCCACUGCACUCCAGCCUGGGCGACAGAGCGAGACUCCGUCUCAAAAAAAACAAACAAACAAAAAACAAAACAUAAUGCAACUACAUGAUGACUACAACAGACAUAUUUUAAAAUUCAAAGACAGAAUUAGAUUGAAAGUAAAAGGAUAGAAAAAGAUAUAUCAUACAAGCAGUAACCAAAAGAGAACUGGAGUAACUAUACUACCAUCAGAUAAAAUAGACUUAAAACUAUUAUUUUAAAAAGGAUUAUUUCAAUAAUUAUAAUUUAACUUUAAUAAUUAAAAAUUAUUUACAAAAAGGAUAUUUUAUGAAAAAAGGGUCAAUCCAUAAAGAAGAUAUGACUAUUAUAAAUAUGUAUGCAAUCAUAACGAUCACGAGCCUGAAAAUACAUGGAGCAAAACUGAUAGAACUGAUGGAGAAAUAUACAAUUCAACAAUAAUAGGUGAAGACUCCAAUACCUCACUUUCAAUAAUGAAUAGAACAACUAGAUAUAAUAUUAAAGAAACAGAAGACUUGAACAACACUAUAAAUCAGAUGGACCUAAAUUAUAUUUAUAGAACACUCCACAGAACAACAGCAGAAUAUACAUUCUUCACAAGUCUUACGAACCAGGUUCACCAUGAGCCAUUUACCAAUUCCAGGGGAGAACCCCUACUACAUGGAGAAUAACAAAGAUCAUCACAAUGCCAACCACCAGAACUAAAAGUUGAAACACUUCUGUACACUACGUCUUGGGCUGUAAUUUUUAUCACUUGCAGAAGUCCAGUGAGAUAGAACACUCAUACAAAUUAAGAAAAGCAAUUCGGUUACUCACAGGCAGGUAGCAAGGGACAGCAGAAGCUAUGAAUUAAGGCAAGCCAGUCCCUAAGUCUCGGAAAAGCUGCCCAGGGUGGUGGACUGAGUCUCUGCAAGUGCCUCACAUCUCACUGCAACUGAGGAACCCCAAAAGCACUCUGCUUUAUGUUUUAUACUACAGAAACAACUUAGAUUACUGUGCUACAACAUUGUAGGACAUCCUGUUCUAGGAGGAACAGAAAUAGAACCCAGAUUGUUCCAAACAGUUUCUCCUUAUCUCACAGUGCUGUGUUCUUGGCACAUUCUAUAGCCAUUCUGAAAAUUACAAGUGAGAUGGCGGAAAGAGCUGGGCCAGCCAAGGUUACCCAGAGCCCUGUCCUGCAAAUCAACAUGAGGCAUUCUCCAGGACAGACUACAUAUUAGUCCACAAAACCAAUCUCAAUAACUUUAAAAUAACUGAAAUUAAACAAAGUAUGUUUUAUGACUACAAUGGAAUGAAA